GAUGAACGCUAGCUACAGGCUUAACACAUGCAAGUCGAGGGGCAGCAUGAACAAAGCUUGCUUUGUUUGAUGGCGACCGGCGCACGGGUGCGUAACACGUAUCCAAUCUGCCCGCGGCUCGGGGAUAGCCCAUCGAAAGAUGGAUUAAUACCCGAUGGCGUGGUUUCUCCGCAUGGAGUUUCCACUAAAGGUUUUCCGGCCGCGGAUGGGGAUGCGUAUGAUUAGGUAGUAGGCGGGGUAACGGCCCACCUAGCCUUCGAUCAUUAGGGGUUCUGAGAGGAAGGUCCCCCACACUGGAACUGAGACACGGUCCAGACUCCUACGGGAGGCAGCAGUGAGGAAUAUUGGUCAAUGGGCGAGAGCCUGAACCAGUCAAGUAGCGUGAAGGAAGACUGCCCUAUGGGUUGUAAACUUCUUUUGUUCGGGAAUAAAGUGCAGUACGCGUACUGUUUUGUAUGUACCGUUCGAAUAAGCAUCGGCUAAUUCCGUGCCAGCAGCCGCCGUAAGAC
rnacentral:rRNA from 1 species